CGGUGGUAAUAGCGUGGAGGUCACACCCGUUCCCAUACCGAACACGGAAGUUAAGCUCCAUUGCGCUGACGAUACUUGGCGGGUGACUGCCUGGAAAACUAGGUCGCUGCCG
rnacentral:rRNA from 1 species